UAGACCAUUGAAAUACAAAGGCCAUCAUGUGUUCUUUGACAGGUUCUUUACAUCCAUUUCCUUGGUGCGAACCUUGCUUCAGAAUGGGAUUUUUAGUUGUGGGACAAUAAAGAGCGACUCAGAAGGGUUUCCGCCAGAGUUAAGAAAUCCGGAUUUAAGAAGAGGGGAGACAUUACAGAUGCAGCACGACCAAUUGCUUGCCACUGCUUGGAAAGAUAAGAAAACGGUACAUAUUUUGAGCACUAAUUGUAGUCCGUUUGGAGAUGGCCCAGUUGUCCGUCGAACUCGGGGUGGAAAUUUUGUUGAGGUUAUGUGUCCUCCACCAGUAUCUUCCUAUCAACGUUAUAUGAGUGGAGUCGACAGAUGCAUGCAACACCGCGCAAAGAAUCCUGUUGGCAGACCAU